rnacentral:rRNA from 1 species
GAUGAACGCUGGCGGCGUGCCUAAUACAUGCCAGUCGAGCGAACAGAUAAGGAGCUUGCUCCUUUGACGUUAGCGGCGGACGGGUGAGUAACACGUGGAUAACCUACCUAUAAGACUGGGAUAACUUCGGGAAACCGGAGCUAAUACCGGAUAACAUAUUGAACCGCAUGGUUCAAUAGUGAAAGGCGGCUUUGCUGUCACUUAUAGAUGGAUCCGCGCCGUAUUAGCUAGUUGGUAAGGUAACGGCUUACCAAGGCGACGAUACGUAGCCGACCUGAGAGGGUGAUCGGCCCCACUGGAACUGAGACACGGUCCAGACUCCUACGGGAGGCAGCAGUAGGGAAUCUUCCGCAAUGGGCGAAAGCCUGACGGAGCAACGCCGCGUGAGUGAUGAAGGUCUUCGGAUCGUAAAACUCUGUUAUCAGGGAAGAACAAAUGUGUAAGUAACUGUGCACAUCUUGACGGUACCUGAUCAGAAAGCCACGGCUAACUACGUG